UUGAUUUAAUAUUAAAAAUAAAUCUUAAUAAAUAAACUUAGAAUUCUCCCACGGCAUAUCACAGGGACAACAGUAAGCAUCGAUAAAAGCACCCAUGUGCUAUACGUGCAUUAAUUAAUUUUGAUAAUUAAUUAAUUAUUUUAAUCCGGAAAGAUAAUGGAAUUUGGACUUAUGUUAACCUUGACGCAAAUUCAAUUAUACUAGAGUUUUUGUUAUCAAUUUUAUAAUUAUUAAGCCUAGUCGGAUUUGCACAAGCUAAGUUCUUUUAAUUUUAAAUUAU
rnacentral:lncRNA from 1 species